AUUAGAGUUUGAUCCUGGCUCAGAACGAACGCUGGCGGCAGGCCUAACACAUGCAAGUCGAGCGGGACCUUCGGGUCUAGCGGCGGACGGGUUAGUAACGCGUGGGAACGUGCCCAAAGGUACGGAAUAGCCUCGGGAAACUGAGAGUAAUACCGUAUGUGCCCUUCGGGGGAAAGAUUUAUCGGCAAAGGAUCGGCCCGCGUUGGAUUAGGUAGUUGGUGGGGUAAUGGCCUACCAAGCCGACGAUCCAUAGCUGGUUUGAGAGGAUGAUCAGCAACACUGGGACUGAGACACGGCCCAGACUCCUACGGGAGGCAGCAGUGGGGAAUCUUAGACAAUGGGGGAAACCCUGAUCUAGCCAUGCCGCGUGAGCGAUGAAGGCCUUAGGGUUGUAAAGCUCUUUCAGAUGGGAAGAUAAUGACGGUACCAUCAGAAGAAGCCCCGGCUAACUCCGUGCCAGCAGCCGCGGUAAUAAU
rnacentral:rRNA from 1 species